AUGACUGUACUUUUAUAGAAUCUCUAUACAUGUACUAUCCAAAUUUGACUAAUUCAAAUUUGAAAUCACUAUCACCUGUGAUGACGAAGUGAAGCACGGUUGGAUAUCGCGAGAAGAUCGUUGUUUUUUCUCUUGAGAGAAAACGAUGUGGCGAAGAGCAGCGUUUUCUAUGCUUGUUCGUAGAAGAUGCCCGACCCUGCACUUUGAACAGG
rnacentral:snoRNA from 1 species